rnacentral:rRNA from 1 species
CGCGGAGUUAGCCGAUGCUUUUUCUUCGGAUACACGCAGUCCGGGACACGUCCCGGGUUUUGUUCUCCGACAAAAGAGGUUUACAACCCAUAGGGCCGUCUUCCCUCACGCGGCUUGGCUGGUUCAGGAUCUCUCCCAUUGACCAAUAUUCCUCACUGCUGCCUCCCGUAGGAGUCUGGUCCGUGUCUCAGUACCAGUGUGGGGGACCUUCCUCUCAGAACCCCUACGCAUCGUCGCCACGGUGGGCCGUUACCCCGCCGUCAAGCUAAUGCGCCGCAUGCCCAUCCUCUUCCGAUGAAUCUUUCCUCGAUCUCGGAUGCCCGAAACCGAUAUACGCGGGAUUAGCCUCCCUUUCGGAAGGUUGUCCCCCUGAAGAGGGCAGGUUGCAUACGUGUUACUCACCCGUGCGCCGGUCGCCGGCAAGGAAAGCAAGCUUCCCUCCCGAUGCCCCUCGACUUGCAUGUGUUAAGCCUGCCGCUAGCGUUCAUCCUGAGCCAGGAUCAAACUCU